AGGAAAUGAAUGCUUCAAGGAGAUCAGCUAGCAAGGAGCUGGGACCUGACAAAAUGUGUCAGAAAGGAAGCAAUUAGAGUCAAAACAGGAAAAAAAAAAUAUCACAGUUUUCUACAUAAAUAUGGGCACAUCCUGCUUGUGAGUACCUGCAGAAUCCCUUAAAGUGAAGGCUGGGUUUACCUGUGUUGUUGAUGGAAGCAGUCCAAAGGCCAGCGCACACAGCCCUGACCAUUUUGGUUGAUCACUGUUUGGAUGCUUGGUGUUGGUCUUCAGCCCAGAGCUUUCUCAAUGGCCAGCGCUGGGUCCAGGAGCCAGAGAGCACUAUGGGGACCACUUGGUUGUUUGCACACUGGUGAACUGAGCCCUUCAUCAAAGCCUUCUUGGACACACAUGAGCCAUUUUGCUGUUCCCAUCUGCAUUUUGAAGCCAAACCCCCUGUGACCUGGGGCAGAAGAUCAUGACUGAUCAGUGGUGGCUUCCCAGGAUGAGACACAUCCCUAAGGUCAACAUCUGCACACAAGCAGCAACAUGGCGGUUCCCUCAACCACCAGCAAUGCCUUGUCCCAGCCAGGGGAGCCAAGCACCGGAAUACACCAGGAAUGCUGCAGACACCUCAGAACUCUCUGUCUUCUAAAUGAAGAAUGAGCUUUUCUUCCGGAAAGCCCUGAUCCUGCGUGGCACGACUUUGUC
ensembl:lncRNA